GUCGAGGGGCAGCGAGUGUAGCAAUACAUGUCGGCGACCGGCGCACGGGUGCGUAACGCGUAUGUAACCUACCUUUAACUGGAAGAUAGCCCCGAGAGAUCGGGAUUAAUACUCCAUAUUAUUAUAGAAAGGCAUCUUUUUAUAAUCAAAGUUCCGACGGUUUUAGAUGGGCAUGCGUGACAUUAGCUAGUUGGUGAGGUAACGGCUCACCAAGGCUACGAUGUCUAGGGGUUCUGAGAGGAUUAACCCCCACACUGGUACUGAGACACGGACCAGACUCCUACGGGAGGCAGCAGUAAGGAAUAUUGGGCAAUGGACGCAAGUCUGACCCAGCCAUGCCGCGUGAAGGAUGAAGGCCCUAUGGGUUGUAAACUUCUUUUGUACGGGAAAAAACCCCUGGUCGUGAAUCAGGGUUGAUGGUCCCGUAAGAAUAAGCAUCGGCUAACUCCGUGCCAGCAGCCGCGGUAAUACGGAGGAUGCAAGCGUUAUCCGGAUUCAUUGGGUUUAAAGGGUGCGUAGGCGGGAUGAUAAGUCAGUGGUGAAAUCCUACAGCUUAACUGUAGAACUGCCAUUGAUACUGUCAACCUAGAGUACAAUUGAAGUGGGCGGAAUGUGUCAUGUAGCGGUGAAAUGCUUAGAUAUGACACAGAACACCGAUAGCGAAGGCAGCUCACUAAACUGUAACUGACGCUGAGGCACGAAAGCGUGGGGAUCAAACAGGAUUAGAUACCCUGGUAGUCCACGCCGUAAACGAUGAUCACUCGAUGUGUGCGAUAUACUGUACGCGUCUAAGCGAAAGCAUUAAGUGAUCCACCUGGGGAGUACGUUCGCAAGUAUGAAACUCAAAGGAAUUGACGGGGGCCCGCACAAGCGGAGGAGCAUGUGGUUUAAUUCGAUGAUACGCGAGGAACCUUACCUGGGCUUAAAUGGGAGACGACCGUUGCCGAAAGGUGACUUCCCUUCGGGGCGUCUUUCAAGGUGCUGCAUGGCUGUCGUCAGCUCGUGCCGUGAGGUGUUGGGUUAAGUCCCGUAACGAGCGCAACCCCUAUCAUUAGUUACCAUCAGGUUAAGCUGGGAACUCUAAUGAAACUGCCUACGCAAGUAGUGAGGAAGGCGGGGAUGACGUCAAGUCAGCACGGCCCUUACGUCCAGGGCUACACACGUGCUACAAUGGCUGGUACAAUGGGUUGCUACAUGGUGACAUGAUGCUAAUCUCAAAAACCAGUCUCAGUUCGGAUCGAAGUCUGCAACUCGACUUCGUGAAGUUGGAUUCGCUAGUAAUCGGAUAUCAGCAAUGAUCCGGUGAAUACGUUCCCGGGCCUUGUACACACCGCCCGUCAAGCCAUGGAAGUUGGGGGUACCUGAAGUCGAUAACCGCAAGGAGUCGCCUAGGGUAAAACCAAUGACUGGGGCUAAGUCGUAACAAGGUA
rnacentral:rRNA from 1 species